CAGCUUGCUAGUCUCUUAUUAAAUCGAUGAUUAUACUUAUACAACACUGUUUUCUAAGUCAUUACAAGAUCUCUAUCAGUUCACAAGUCUAUUGACAUAACUUAAACUAACUUAUAUUGUUUAUUUCUCUUGUUUAAACAUUAUAAGUAAACUGCUAGUACUCGAAUGAUCAGCUUGGAAGGGUGGUGUUUGCUUUUUGUAUUCUGAUUAUUUAGAUACAUAUUGUAAGAAUGUAGUCGCAAUGCAUUUAUUAUUCUUAUUAUUUUUUUGACAAAUGAAAUUUUUACAUGUAAUACAGUGUAACAUUAGUCAUUGUGAUCUUAAGAAGAGAAUUAGUUAUUUCAUUUUAAUUAUUUUGCUAUUAACUUAUGAAAAUGUCGAAUCUGCAAGAAAUGAAAGAUCUAAAUGUUCUUCUACGGCCUGAUAGUUAAAAAUAUAAAAGUAUUCCUAUAAAUUGUAUUAAUUUUUGGUGCUGACUUUUCGUAGCCAUAUGUUUUCAGUAGUUAGAUGUUUUGAUUCUGAAUAAAUUGCUGGGUAUCAC
rnacentral:sRNA from 1 species